CGGGGGGGGGGGCAAGCGUUGUUCGGAAUUACUGGGCGUAAAGGGCGCGUAGGCGGACGGGACAGUCUUUCGUGAAAUCCCACGGGCUCAACCGUGGAACUGCGGGAGAUACUUCUCGUCUUGAGUUCGGGAGAGGAGUGUGGAAUUCCCAGUGUAGCGGUGAAAUGCGUAGAUAUUGGGAGGAACACCGGUGGCGAAGGCGGCACUCUGGACCGAUACUGACGCUGAGGCGCGAAAGCUAGGGGAGCAAACGGGAUUAGAUACCCCGGUAGUCCUGGCUGUAAACGCUGAGCACUUGGUGUAGCGGGUAUCGACCCCUGCUGUGCCGAAGCUAACGCAUUAAGUGCUCCGCCUGGGGAGUACGGUCGCAAAGGCUG
rnacentral:rRNA from 1 species